AUGGAGGAUCGCGGCGAUGCCGAACCGACCGCCGGCUGCAGCAGUCUGGGCCCGGGCGGCGUUCGCAGCGGUGGCGGCGCUCCCUCGUGGGCCCCUGAGGACGCCUGGAUGGGCACCCACCCUAAGUACUUAGAAAUGAUGGAAUUAGAUAUAGGAGAUGCCACCCAAGUCUAUAUAGCAUUCUUGGUUUACCUGGACCUCAUGGAGAGUAAAAGUUGGCAUGAAGUAAGCUGUGUGGGAUUACCAGAACUCCAGCUCAUCUGCCUUGUUGGUACAGAGCUAGAAGGGGAAGGGUUACAGACUGUGGUGCCUGUACCCAUCACUGCUUCCCUCAGCCAUAACAGGCUGUGCAGAGCAUUUAUCUAAAUAUGGAAUGGUGCACCACUAUGGACAGGACUGGAAGAAGAUAAAAUUUUCUUUCCAGUCAAUUCUGUUGCAUCUUCUCAUGAACACUGGGUACUGUUCUUAGAGUGGCAAGACUGGGCAGCAAAAAGAAAUGAUAUCGAGUUGCAGAGCUUGCCAAAGUGGAAAUCAAUCACUGCAAGGCCUUUUAAGGUCACGAGGCCCAGGUCGCAAUGCUCUGGACACUGGCUCUGCCUGUGACCUCAGGUGAACCACAAAAUGAUGGUCAGCAGCUCGUACAGCCCUUGGGAGGCAGGCGGUGUAGUGGAAAGAGCACAGGCUUCAGCAGCUCCAGACUGGAUGUCCUGCCCUGACACUUAUUUAUGGGAGACCCUGGGCACAGAAGAAAGGCCAUAUGAGGACACAGUGUAAAGGCAGCUGUCUUCCAGCCAGGAAGAGACGCCUCACCAGAAACUGAAUUUUCCUGAACCAUGAUUUGGGUCUUCUAGUGUCCAGAACUGUGAGAAAAUAAAUUUCAGUUGUUUAAGCCACCCCAUCUGUGGUAGUUUGUUAUGGCAGCCCGAGCAGAUGACUACGAUGGUAACUCAUGGAAAGGGCUUUGGUUCAACGCCUGGCACAAGGUAGAGAUUCGCUAAGUGUAGCUGUUACUAUUAUUAUUGCUUCUAAUAAAACACCCACCUUUCUAGGAGAGAGAGAGAAUUCUGGAAACUCUAAUACCAAACAGUCUGCAAAUCCACUUUAAGCUUCUGAUGGGAAAUUGAGAGCAUCAGAAAGAAAGCAAACCACAUUCACUGAAAUUUUCCAAUCCUAUUUCUGUAUAUAAGUCAUAAUGGUUUGUGUCUAAUAACAUGCCUGCAUCUUCCUUCUGAGGAACUUAAUGUGUUUACAUCCUGAGGAUGAGUUAACGGAACAUCUUAGAUGGCCCGGUGCCUGACACUAGGACGGUGCACAUGAGGCACUACAAAAAUAAGGUGCUGUGUCAGGCACUAGGGAUAUAAAUGUGAGCAGGAAAGACAUGAAUGACCCUGUCCUCCCAGAGUGUCCUGCCCAUAAGGAAAGACAGCAAUUAAAUCUGGCUUUACAAGAAAUAUACCAUCACAAUAUGGGGAAACCAAUGGAAUAGAAGAAAGGAAGACAGCUGGGCCAAUCUUCAUGUAAACACACUAACGACAGACUCAAGGUGAUGUGACCACAUACAUAGCUUGAAGAUCUUCUGUGUUAAUCUGGGCGAGAGAAUAUGUUUCAUGAAAGGACCUGGAGAGCUGUACUCGUGCUGGGCCAUUCCUUGCUUCUCCCGAGUCUUGUGAUUGCUGGUUUCAUGAAAUUAUAUGUAAAGCAUGAUACUGGCCUCACCCUCAAUGUUUCCAGUUUCUCCAGCAUGUGCAGAGCUCUCCUGACUCUGGACUCAGAGCAUCCAGAGGACUAGACUUUCCCACUCAUGGGACCCUGCGUACACUGUCUCGUGCCAUGUCUCGAGUCAUUACCCUACAUCAAUCAUCGUUCUGGGAAGAUGGGAGCCAGUUGGUGGUAAUAGUGGGUGCCUUGCCAAGGAGUUUGGAGGUUGUAAGUUACUUGGUAAAGGAGAUCCAACCCUGGUGUUUAACUGUGAACAGUGAGACAACAUCCUUGUCCUCGUAGACCUUACAUUCUCUUGGGGGCAGUAACAGAAAAAGAAAGAAAAAAGUUCCAUGAAGAAAAUAAAACAAGAUGAUGAUGCGACAGUGAGUGCAGAAGAGUGGACAAGCUAUUUUAGCAGGAUUGACCAGGGAAAUCCUCUCUCAGAGGUGACAGCCUGAGAGUUGGAUGAUGAGAAAGUUAUGGGGAUCAAGAAAACAAAACAAACAAAACCCCCAAACAAGAACGAGAAUAAUCAUUGAUGAAGGAGAGCAAUAAGAUUCAGUAUGAAGACACUUAGAGCAGGAAGGGACCUGCUCCAUCUGCAAGUCUGUCUCACUCAUUUCCUGUCUCCAGAAAGGAAACUGAAGCCAGAGAGAUAAAGAGGCUGACGCAAAGUCACAAAGCUAAUUAAUAGCAUAGUCAGAAAGAGACUCUUAACCUCUACUUCCAACUUCAUCCCCUACUGCGUAAGUCUCUCUUAACAUCUUGAAUCUCAUUUUCUUCUUAGUAAAAUGGGUUAUUGUGAGAAAUUCAAAAUGUAACAUAGACAAGGUGUUCAAAAUGUCAGGUAUUUCCAUUACUGGAUUUGUUUUAAUCCUGUUACAGUGUACUCCUCAAGUAGUUAACAAUGUUAUUACUUUAGUAAUACAAAAGCAUAAUAUAAAUAUUUAGUAACUUGGUAAUACAAAAAGCAUGAGAGAGGCAAUGAGCAUUCAACUCCUGAUUAUUUUAGUCACCGAUGCGUGGGUUAAGUCUCAGCCCGGGGCCUCUGCUGUCAACAUCAAGCACCACCUGCCAUCUGCCUGGAGGCAGCUACUGGAACCGCUGUUGGGGAAGAGAUAACCAGCCCCCUACACUGCUGGCCUUGCAAGCCCCACCUUAUUAAGUGGUGGCAAGUAUCACAGUCCUAAGAUGCUUCUGAGGAGAGAAAAAUGAGGCUGUGGACUUCCCAAUAGACACAGCUGUCAUCAAGCUCUUUACGGAAAGCUGCUGUAGACAGGGGCUGAGAAGAAGAUGAAGGCUUUAACAGGAUGUAAAAGUUGAAGUGAUAAAAAGGGUGCACUAAAAGCACAUGGCACAGGAAAGGCUUUUCUACAUCCAGAUUGAGAAUCAGACCUGCAUUUCGUUACUCGGCAUUUUGUAUUGUACCCCCUCCCCCAACACACCUCUGCCCUUUGAGCUGGUGUUUUUGUAAAUAUUUGGAUAGGACAAAGAAUAUAAUAAACAGGGUCAUGGCUUUGCCAGAGUGACAGUCACUGUUGGAAUAUACAUACUGGCUGUCCUUAACUUCUCCAUGUCACUUGAUUUUUCUUAUCACACUUUUGGGGUUUAACCCAGGGGCUCGGACCCCAAGCCCAUGCUGUAGCAUUCUGUUGUGUUGUAUCUGAGUUUGGUGAUGAUGGAGCCACCCGUGUAAUUAUCAUUAAUCAAUAGUUUGAUAUGACUAUCGCAUGAUUGCCAGAGUGACAAUGAAAAUGAGGCCUUGCACAACUGUGGGUUGCAUGUGAAAGAGUGACCUGAGAGCCAUGUCUGAGCCUCACUGCCCACUGUCAUUACCUCACUCUUCCAUCCCCACCUGGCCAGGGCUAGGACCCUCUUCCUAGACUGCAGCACCCUCACCUCCCAUCAUUCUGAACAGCAGAGAGUCCCAUCAGGAUAAUGCCCCAUUCACUUGUCAGCCCUCCCGUGCUCACCAAGGGCCCUGACAGUGGACACAGUGGCAUACAUGAAGCUGCAGAGGCAGAGGGUCCAAGUCUUUGCCCCAACUCUAGCAGGUCUACAUUCCAGAUCUUGCUCUACCACUUAAUUUCUUCACUAUGAGCUUGGAAAAAUUAGUUCCUUUCUCUGAACCUCCAUUUCCUCAGAUGUGAGGCUGGAAUAUGUCUAUCUCAUUGGGGUCUAAGAAUUUUAAAAAAUCACAUUAUUGUAUAUAAAAAUGCUUUGAAAAAUAGAAAGCACUACUCAAGCACAGCUAUUAUUCAAUAGUCUACAUACACCACAUGGUACUUUUGUGGAAAAAAUAAAAUCUAAUAAAAAAUAAAUUAUAUUCACAUCACUUUAUUCAUUCAUCCAUCCAUCCAUAUAUAUACAUUCAUUCUUUCAACAAAGUUUUAUUAGACAACCAGUCUGGGCCAAGCACUGUGUUGGAGCUAGGUAUAUAUAUGAUUGUGAACAGCUCAGAUAUUAUUACUUUUAUUAGUCAGUGUUCUCCAGAGAAACAGAACCAAAAGGAUGUAUAUAUCUGUAGAAAGAGAUUCAUUAGAAGGAAUUGGCUCAUGUGAUCAUGAAGGUGGGCAAGUCCCAAGACCUGCUGGAUGAGUCAGCAAGUUGGAAACCCAGGAGAGCCAAUAGUCAAUGGUUUAGUUCCAGUCUGAGUUUGAAGGUCUGAGACCCAGGAGAGCUGAUGGUGUAGUACCUGUCCAAAGAUCAGAAGGUUCAAGACUCAGGAAGAGCCAAUAUUGCAGUUUGAGUCCAAAGGCAGUAAAAAAGCCAGUGUCCCACUUCAGAGGCAGUCUGGCAGAAAGAAUUCUCUCUUACCUGGGGAGAUCAGUCUAUUUGAUCUAUUCAGACCUUCAACUGAUUGGAUGCAGCCUGCCACAUUAGGAAGGACAAUCUGCUUUACUCAGUCUAUCAACUUAAAUGUUAAGAUCAUCCGAAAACACCCUCACUGAAACACCCAGAAUAAUGUUUGAUAAAAUAUCUGGGCACCCUGUGGCCUAAUCAAGUUGAAACAUAAAACUAGCCAUCACUUUCCUCAUGGAGCUUACCAUCUAUUUGGGAGAAGAAGACACAGUAAAACAAUUGUCAUGCAAAUACUUUAGUAAUUACAAAGCAUGCUAAGUGCCGUGAAGGAAAAAGUGCAGGCUGCCAGGAGUGAGGCAGAUGAAUAUGAAAUGUAAGUCGAGUUGAUGGGCUUUGGGCAAGUGCCUUUCAGGCAGCAGACGUGCAUAGGGGAAGACUUCAAGAUAGAAGAGCACUUGGCAAAUUCAAAGAUCCAAAAGGCCAGUGUGGCUGGAACAUGGGAAAGAAGAGGGAUUAUGUUGCCAAAUGCGAGCUGGCUGAGUGAGAGUCACAGACAACUCCUAGUUUCUAUGAUGACAAGGCUGGGAAGUUUGAGGCUAGUAGAGAGAGUGCAAAAUAUAAGUUGCUGGACUGAGAAAAUGACCUUACUAAAGCAAAGUAGUAAUAUGGUUGUGUGGUCCAUUUAAGUUGAGAGGACGAAUUCAUGAAGAUUCUAAUCUCUUGGGUGUUAAGAUUUUUUAUAGUAUUUUGUUCAACAUUUUAAUGCAGAAAUAUAAGUUAAUUUUAACAUUGCUGUGAUUUUCUAUUUCAUAUUGUUUUAUAUGGACAUUUCUAGCAGUGUGUAUUCCAUAACCUUGUUAUUUUUAAUAGCUGGGUAGUAUUCCCCCAUGAUUUCCAUCAUGGUAUUUCUGGCCCUUCUACACACUUGUGUGGUUUUUA